GUGUCAGCAGCCGCGGUAAUACAGAGGUCUCAAGCGUUGUUCGGAUUCAUUGGGCGUAAAGGGUGCGUAGGCGGUGAGGCAAGUCUGGUGUGAAAUCCCGGAGCUCAACUCCGGAACUGCACUGGAUACUGCUUUACUAGAGUACUGGAGAGGGAACUGGAAUUUACGGUGUAGCAGUGAAAUGCGUAGAGAUCGUAAGGAAGACCAGUGGCGAAGGCGAGUUCCUGGACAGUUACUGACGCUGAGGCACGAAGGCCAGGGGAGCAAACGGGAUUAGAUACCCCAGUAGUCC
rnacentral:rRNA from 1 species